GUUGGAUUUCAGGAUGGGAGCUAAAAUGGACGUCUUCCUUCUUGAAAAUUUCACCACCGAUAUCGUGUUUUUCUUAAAUCUGGGUCCUGUGAAUGAAUUCCAAGGAAACUUGUGAAAGAGAAGGACGAGGAGCAGGGCUCGACUUUACCACGCUUGUUAUCUCCGUUUGGCAAAUACGCCCUCCUUCGUACCAAAGGAGCUUGACAAUCUAAAUCUUCUAGAGACCAACAGUUAUGAACUAUUUCUAGAUCUUCAGGAUGUACCUGGUUUGCUGUGUGGGCUGCAGAGGUGGUCCGUGGCAGAAGGGAAUGCUGUGAAUGUCUUUUUUUUAGUGUAAAUAAAAGAUUUUCAGUUCAA